CCUACGGGAGGCAGCAGUGAGGAAUAUUGGUCAAUGGACGAGAGUCUGAACCAGCCAAGUAGUGUGAAGGAUGACUGCCCUAUGGGUUGUAAACUUCUUUUAUAUGGGAAUAAAACGUUCCACGUGUGGGAUUUUGUAUGUACCAUAUGAAUAGGGAUCGGCUAACUCCGUGCCAGCAGCCGCGGUAAUACGGAGGAUCCGAGCGUUAUCCGGAUUUAUUGGGUUUAAAGGGAGCGUAGGUGGAUUGUUAAGUCAGUUGUGAAAGUUUGCGGCUCAACCGUAAAAUUGCAGUUGAAACUGGCAGUCUUGAGUACAGUAGAGGUGGGCGGAAUUCGUGGUGUAGCGGUGAAAUGCUUAGAUAUCACGAAGAACUCCGAUUGCGAAGGCAGUUCACUGGACUGCAACUGACACUGAGGCUCGAAAGUGUGGGUAUCAAACAGGAUUAGAUACCCCAGUAGUC
rnacentral:rRNA from 1 species